UCCAUCCAUCCAUCCAUCCAUUUUGGCAUAUCACUACAGUGACGUGGCCGCUCUGAUGGCUUCAGCUAUCAAAGUGUCUCGGGAACAUUACAGUACUGGUUUCCCAUUGCCUUCUACUGGAUUAUUAUAGAGUUUUUUUCCUCUCAACCAUUCACACACACGCAUUCACACCUACGGACAAUUUAGAGCCACCAAUUAGCCUAACCUGCAUGUCUUUGGACUGUAAGGGAAACCGGAGCACCCGGAGGAAACCCACGCGGACACGGGGAGAACAUGCAAACACGGAGUAGAAGCGUGACUGGAUUUAAAAAAAGGGGGAAAAACCGCCAGUGCCUUGGCUUUCUGAGAAAUAUACAAGUCUCUUCUUGAUAUCACUAUAUUUGAACGAGACUUAGUGAUAAAGGCGAUAGAAAAGGUUGAACAGUUCUUCCACGAAAGCUCACAAGAAGAUCUUAAAAAGCGUUCGACUGGUAGAAAAAUUGCAAAGGGAGCAUGCUUGGAGUAAAUACGGUAAUACAAUGGCUAUAAUCUAACUUCCUGUCAUAUUAACAAUGCAGAGAAAUGAAGGAAAGCAUUCUGUGAAAUGUAUAAGUAGUGACAUCUUCAUCCUACAGAGAAUAAACGCCUGUACCUGUUCUUCAUGAGGCGCACUUCUCGUUUGCGCGUGGCUUCCUCAGCACCUCCUUGGCUGGGCAGAGCAGGCGAUGAGGCCAUGACCACUCCAGGGCCGAUGGUACUCGCUGCUGCUGUGCGGAUCUGAUACGCCUGAACAUCUCCCGACGCAGCUGGAGAAUAUCGAGCGAAAAGAGACAUCUGUCUUGUUGGAGCCAUGAUUCUUGCCAAUCCACUUGGUCCAGCAGCCCUCCAAGGUGUGAUAACUGCGCUGUUUCUAACUGCAGACUAACGAGCAGAUCUAAUCUGAGGCAGGUGUCAAUUUAGGGAAAGGAAAUUGACUGGUUUUUCCUGAAGGCCAAGAAGGUGCACUUUGGAAUGACUUUAUUAUUGUAUCAUGUUUGUGAUCUCAGUUUGUUCUACAGAAUAAAAUGUCUGAAUGAGUGCUCAUCCAAGACUGGUGACUCCAUACUUUUUGCCAGGGGUUGUAUAUUCAUAUUUACAGGGAUAGGUAUGUAGUAGAUAUUUAUUUUUGUAAUUAUAUAUUUAUAUAGAUAUUUAUGAAGUGUAUAUAUGGUAUGUA